UAGGGAAUCUUCGGCAAUGGACGGAAGUCUGACCGAGCAACGCCGCGUGAGUGAAGAAGGUUUUCGGAUCGUAAAGCUCUGUUGUUAGAGAAGAACGUUGGUAGGAGUGGAAAAUCUACCAAGUGACGGUAACUAACCAGAAAGGGACGGCUAACUACGUGCCAGCAGCCGCGGUAAUACGUAGGUCCCGAGCGUUGUCCGGAUUUAUUGGGCGUAAAGCGAGCGCAGGCGGUUCUUUAAGUCUGAAGUUAAAGGCAGUGGCUUAACCAUUGUACGCUUUGGAAACUGGAGGGCUUGAGUGCAGGAGGGGAGAGUGGAAUUCCAUGUGUAGCGGUGAAAUGCGUAGAUAUAUGGAGGAACACCGGUGGCGAAAGCGGCUCUCUGGUCUGUAACUGACGCUGAGGCUCGAAAGCGUGGGGAGCAAACAGG
rnacentral:rRNA from 1 species